UGCAAGAGCACGUAUAUAUGUACGUGUAUAAGAGUUUGAUUGAUCUUGGAACAUUCAAAUACGAAGAAUGUUGGUUUGUUUUAUAGGGUUCUUAUAUCAACUAAAUUUUCAAACAACUCAAAUUGCAUCUCAAAUGAUACCAGGAAUGCCAAUGGUUGCAUCUCAAAUGUCACCAGCAAUGCCAAUGGUUGCAUCUCAAAUGUCACCAGCAAUGCAAAUGGUUGCAUCUCAAAUGUCACCAGCAAUGCCAAUGGUUGCAUCUCAAAUGUCACCAGCAAUGCCAAUGGUUGCAUCUCAAAUGUCACCAGCAAUGACAAUGGUUGCAUCUGAAAUGACACCAGAAAUGCCGCCAAUGCUGUUAGAGAUGUUGGAGAUGAUUCUGAUGAUUCUGAUGCUGAUUCUAAUGAAUACGAAUACCAUGACUUCAGAAACUAGUACAGCAAGACCUUAAUAGCCAUGAGGACCUCUACUUAUUUCAAAUUGAGUUACCAAGUCGUUGGACUAUUGGUAUCUGAGUUUGUCCAUCUAACGUCAAAACAAAUAAAAUGUUCUUUUAUUGUC